AGUGAACUGAGAAGAUCUGUGCUGAAGCACAGCCGCUUCCAUGUCAGCUUGUAGAGACAGAGAGACAUGCUACAGAAGACAUUGAUCAAGGUAGUUAUGGUCAGGAAUUAAAAAAAAACCAUGAAAUGCACUUAAAAUUUCCACAUUAUUCAUCUCCAGAGAAGUUCAGUAUCUGAGAAGCCAGUGGAGAUAUACCUAUCAAUGUGUGCACCAGAACACGACACAUUUAACAAGGCAUAUUUUUAAGAGGCCACAGUCUUACAUUUUGUAAGAAUUUGAAGUUAAAAUUUCCAUGCUUUUAAAAUAGCGUUUCAUAAUUCUGAAUUUAGAAUAGUUUGAAUUUUAUGUGCAUCCUGUUUAUGAGAAGCAAUGCUUUGUAAUUUGAUAAUGUUAUUUUUAGUCUUUUUGUUUGAACUACUGCUUGAUUACUAUAACUCAAGACUUUCCUAUUGAGAAUCAAAAAAGCAGGAUUCAACAGUGGGGAUUCAAAUUACAAGCCGUGCACCCGGUUACGUUUUUAUUGUUAUGCUCCGUGGUGAGGAGCAUGUAUUCAGUAAAGGUCCAGAAGGCAGCUGGGCCCGAAGCCUCCAGCUGGCAUUUUAGUGGUUUUGUUUUUUGUUUUUUUAUUCUGUGUAUAGAACUUUAGGAGAACGUUUGUUGCUGUCACUAAAUCUUUAAACUCACAUGUGUAGAUCCAAUGCUGACCUGGCUGUAUCUUAAAGGGUCCAUUUAUGAACGGGGCCGGCAGGGAUUGUCAUUGGUUUGAUUAUGUGAACAUGCAUGAGGGCAGAUAUGCUGGACCCAGUUUACAGUACAUUGUAGUGUGUGCUUUAUAUGGAGGAAUUGAAAUACCAAAAAGAACUUCAUUUGUAGAAAGUUCUUUCCCGGCGUUGCCCAGAAUCUUCCCAGAAGCGAAAGCCUCUCAAUGCCCGCCAUAGUUUUCCUCCAGGAACAUGGCUUCCUGGUCACUUUUAAGAGAUGUGUUUCUUUAAUUAUGAAAAAGAUUCUUGUAACGGGUUAUAGAAAACCAAAUUUUUGCACUUAAAACAUUCAUGUUUAUUGAUGAGACUGGGAGCUCAUGUAGCAAUUACUUUAUAUAUUGGUUUUAGUCCAAGCAUAAUUCACACAUCUUGUCCGCAACAAUUAAAAGAGCUCUGAUAUAUAAGCCUCAUUCUAAGAUGAUCUGUGUGUCCUUUAUACCCCCAGUAAAGCACCAAAAUGUGUUUAACCCAAAGAGUCAUUGGCUAGAUAAAGAAAUAUUUGAAAAGCUUCAAAACUUACAAAUGUUCUAAAAAUCAGCCAUCGUUUAUAAACUUGUAAUAUUUACAGAUCUAUCCAUCGAUGCAUUAUAUAUUCAGGUUCUUUGCUUACUUACUUCUGAGGCCAGGCCCUGCUGUGUAGCCCUGGCUGGCCUAGGAUUUGCUGUGCAGGCCAGGCACUCUGCAGCAGUCUGCUUCUCUCUGCCUCUCUUACAGGUAUGCACCAAGAUGCCUGCGUCCCUGGUUGUUUUUGGUUUUUGUUUUUUUUUAAGAUUCAUUUUAAAAAUUACUUUAAAUUAUGUAAACUAUGUACAGAGGCUCUGGCUUGGUUACUAGGAACCAAACUUGGGUCUUUUGAAGGAGCAGUGUGUGCUCUUAAUCUCUGAGCAAUCUCUCCAGUCCCUUUUUUUAAACUAUAGGAAAAUAUGAAAUAUAAUUUAUCAAAAGCCAUUGUGUUGUACUCUGUUUAGCACCACGUGCCUGGGCUUUGUAAGUGGGGAUGAACUGGGACAAUGAGCAGCUCUCAGCACAUCCUGACAAUCCAAGAUUACAGCCUGGAGUGAGCCUUCAGCCUGUUUUCAAGUAAAUGAUUCUCUCCCAACAUGCCAGCUUCUCUGCCUCGGGAGUCUUGUUUUUGUACUGGAGCAUGGCUCAGUAGUAAAGUGCAACACCU
rnacentral:lncRNA from 1 species